AAAUGUACGGCGUGUUUAGUAUCAUCUGUCUUUUUCGGGAUAUUAAUUGGAAAUCCCUGCUGCUUAGCCAAGAGCCAUGUUAGGCAGCGAGGUAAUGAACUGGUAUCUAAUUAACAUUCUAACAGUGCCUUUGAUGGUUUCAAGAAAGAGGGUACGUAAGGUAAAGUAAACCCCACAUUUACACAUUAACAUGAAGUUGGAAUCCAUUAAAAAAAAAAGUGUAGGUUAUAUACAUUGAUUACAUAGAUACUAGAUAUGACAUAUCUGCCUUAACAAUCUGGAAGUAAAAGAUAAUUUAGAAACCAGUACAUAUAGUGAGUUCAAGGGUCAGAAAGAAAGUUUAAUGACCUAACUCUCCCUUAACAGUCACAUUUAUAAAAUUGUAGGAAUGUAGUCUAGUAUGUUUUCUGUUAGACUAACCAGAGAUCAGGGAGUAAAAGUAUGAACCAAAAUGUACACUAUUAAAAAAAAAUAUUUUACUGAAAGCCAACAAAAUAUUUUUUCCUCAUCUAAUUCAAAAAAACAAACACAUGGGUAAUAUGAC